ACACACACACACACACACACACACACACACACACACACACACAGAGCAGGGAGAACUGGUCCCGAUGUGGGCUUUUGAAACCUCACCCCCUGCGAUACACCUCUUCCAGUAAGGCCACACCUCCUAAUCCUUCCCAAACAGUUCCGCUAACUGGGGACUAAGCAUCCAAACAGAUGACCUUAUGGGGCCAUUCUCACUCAAACCACCAUAAUCUCUUCUCAUCUGUUUGUAUCAUCCAUCCAUCUUCUCUCUUCACCAUCUGUCUUUUCUUAUCUUCCAUAUGUCUGUCUUCUUCACUCCACGUAACCUUGCUAUUCAUCCACUCUUUAGCCCGUGGAACACGGAGAGAAACUUGUAUGUUAAUGCUAGUGGUUGAGGAAGUUGAGUUAGGAGGCAGAGGUGGGAAGGUUGUACUCAUGCCUGAUGUUUGCUGUUUCCGGCAGAUUAUAAUUAGAACUGUGGAACAAGUCUGCAUUCACGACUCACAAAGAGGACAUCGGCACAUGAAGCUGUCAUCAUGAACAGGGUCUCCAGUAACACGGAGGGCUCUGACCACCAAGGAACCACACCAACUUUGGAGUCUCCUAGCAAACUACAAGAGGCAAAACCAUUAGUGAGUGGCAUGAAACAUUAUGUGGAGACUCUUUGCUAUCAGCACCCAGAACGUGCUUGAUGCCCCUGGUGUCAGCUUGAGACAAUUCAGGCAAACCAGUCUUGACUGACAUCACUUUUUCCUGGUUACUUUCUAAGCCCUUCAUUCUGAUUAAAUUGCAGGGGUCAGUUUUCUGCCACCCAACCCCAUGCUUUGCCUGUAAGUCCCC
ensembl:lncRNA